rnacentral:rRNA from 1 species
CCUACGGGUGGCUGCAGUCGAGAAUCAUUCACAAUGGGGGAAACCCUGAUGGUGCGACGCCGCGUGGGGGAAUGAAGGUCUUCGGAUUGUAAACCCCUGUCAUGUGGGAGCAAAUUAAAAAGAUAGUACCACAAGAGGAAGAGACUGCUAACUCUGUGCCAGCAGCCGCGGUAAUACAGAGGUCUCAAGCGUGGUUCGGAAUCACUGGGCGUAAAGCGUGCGUAGGCUGUUUCGUAAGUCGUGUGUGAAAGGCGCGGGCUCAACCCGCGGACGGCACAUGAUACUGCGAGACUAGAGUAAGGGAGGGGGAACCGGAAUUCUCGGUGUAGCAGUGAAAUGCGUAGAUAUCGAGAGGAACACUCGUGGCGAAGGCGGGUUCCUGGACAUUAACUGACGCUGAGGCACGAAGGCCAGGGGAGCGAAAGGGAUUAGAUACCCCGGUAGUC